rnacentral:rRNA from 1 species
UAGGGAAUCUUCGGCAAUGGACGAAAGUCUGACCGAGCAACGCCGCGUGAGUGAAGAAGGUUUUCGGAUCGUAAAACUCUGUUGGUAGAGAAGAACGUUGGUGAGAGUGGAAAGCUCAUCAAGUGACGGUAACUACCCAGAAAGGGACGGCUAACUACGUGCCAGCAGCCGCGGUAAUACGUAGGUCCCGAGCGUUGUCCGGAUUUAUUGGGCGUAAAGCGAGCGCAGGUGGUUUAUUAAGUCUGGUGUAAAAGGCAGUGGCUCAACCAUUGUAUGCAUUGGAAACUGGUAGACUUGAGUGCAGGAGAGGAGAGUGGAAUUCCAUGUGUAGCGGUGAAAUGCGUAGAUAUAUGGAGGAACACCGGUGGCGAAAGCGGCUCUCUGGCCUGUAACUGACACUGAGGCUCGAAAGCGUGGGGAGCAAACAGGAUUAGAU